UACGUAGGGGGCAAGCGUUGUCCGGAUUUAUUGGGCGUAAAGAGCGUGUAGGCGGCCAUACAGGUCCGUUGUGAAAACUGGAGGCUUAACCUCCAGACGUCGAUGGAAACCGUAUGGCUAGAGUCCGGAAGAGGAGAGUGGAAUUCCUGGUGCAGCGGUGAAAUGCGCAGAUAUCAGGAAGAACACCCGUGGCGAAGGCGGCUCUCUGGGACGGUACUGACGCUGAGACGCGAAAGCGUGGGGAGCGAACAGG
rnacentral:rRNA from 1 species